UCCAACUUGAUGACCAGGUUCUGAUACAGGAGACUUUGUUUGUGAGGAUAUUGACCCUAAACAGGCCUCGCCAGCUGAACGCCCUUUCCUUUGAAAUGCUCUCUCGGCUGUCACAACUUUUCUUGGCCUAUGAGGACGAUGCCAAUGCCAAGUUGAUCAUUCUCAAGGGUAAAGGAAGAGCAUUUUGUGCUGGCGGUGAUGUAGCCACCGUUCAUCGUCGUUUUCUUGAGGGAAAUCUGAAAUUUGGUGAAAAAAUUGGUGAGAAGCUGCUCACCUUAACCUACUUGGUAGCAACAUGCAGCAAACCCCAGGCAAGUCUGAAAUUAAUUUCCAUAAUGUCUUCAAAAUCUAGGUUUAAUAUUUUUUUUGGGAUACUUUUGCUGUUAUUUGUAUCAUCUCUCAACUGGUGAAUUAGUACUGUAUGGCGUAAGUCACAUCUGCCCAGUCGAAAUUGCGUAUAAUUAGUUUUACCGUACUUUCUUUUGUUAGGCUCAAAGUUUUCGUAUAAUUUCUUUCACUACCAUCUUUUGUUAUUUAUAUUUAUAUUUUUUUAAAACAGGUUUCAAUUCUGAAUGGGAUUGUCAUGGGAGGUGGGGUUGGUAUUUCAGUAAAUGGCAAAUUCCGUGUAGCAACAGAGAAUUCGAUCUUUGCAAUGCCAGAAAAUUCUCUGGGAUUGUUUCCUGACGUGGGCUCCUCUUAUUUCUUGUCAAGACUUCCCGGAUUUUUUGGAGAGUAUUUGGGUCUCACAGGUGCAAGGUUGGAUGGUGCUGAAAUGCUUGCUUGUGGUCUGGCAACUCACCUUGUCCCCUCAGCCAAAUUGUCCCUUUUGGAAAAAGCUCUAAUUUCCAGAGCAGCUUCAGCUACUUCAUCAAGCUGUGGUCUUGCUUUUAUUUCAGAAAUUAUAGACGAACACUCCUUGCAGCAACCAGCUCUGAACGAGAAAAGUGCUUUACACAAAAUGGAUGUCAUUGACAAGUGCUUUUCCAGACCAACAGUUGAAGAUUUCUUAAGUGCCCUUGAGAAGGAGAUUACUACAACAGAUGCAAACAAGGCAGGUGAUGAAUGGCUAGCUUCAACGGUUCGAUCGCUGAAGAAGGCGUCGCCGAUGAGCUUGAAGAUUUGUUUGCGAUCCAUUAGAGAAGGAAGGGUGCAGGCAAUUGACGAAUGCCUUGUCCGCGAGUACAGAAUAGAUUGUCAUGUUAUGAGAGGGCAAAUAAGCAAGGACUUCAGAGAAGGUUGCAGAGCUAUCUUGUGGGAACAAGGACAAGAAACCAAAGUGGAAGCCUUCUAGUUUGGAGCUCAUCACUGAGCAUAUGGUUGACCACUACUUCACUAGGUUGGAUGGUGAUGAAGAAUUAAAGCUCCCUCGAAGAUGCAACUUGAACGUAUUUCCCAAU
rnacentral:lncRNA from 1 species